UACGGAGGAUCCAAGCGUUAUCCGGAUUUAUUGGGUUUAAAGGGUACGUAGGCGGACUGAUAAGUCAGUGGUGAAAUUCUGCAGCUUAACUGUAGCAUUGCCAUUGAUACUGUUUGUCUUGAGUAUAGUUGAGGUAGGCGGAAUGUAGUGUGUAGCGGUGAAAUGCAUAGAUAUACUACGGAACACCGAUUGCGAAGGCAGCUUACUAAACUAUUACUGACGCUGAGGUACGAAAGCGUGGGGAGCAAACAGGAUUAGAUACCCUGGUAGUCCACGCCGUAAACUAUGAUUACUAGUUGUUUGCGAUAUAUUGUAAGCGACUGCGCGAAAGCAUUAAGUAAUCCACCUGGGGAGUACGUUGGCAACAAUGAA
rnacentral:rRNA from 1 species